rnacentral:rRNA from 1 species
AAUAGAUACCCUGGUAGUCCACGCCGUAAACGAUGGAUACUAGCUGUUCGGUCGCAAGAUUGAGUGGCUAAGCGAAAGUGAUAAGUAUCCCACCUGGGGAGUACGAACGCAAGUUUGAAACUCAAAGGAAUUGACGGGGGCCCGCACAAGCGGUGGAGCAUGUGGUUUAAUUCGAUGAUACGCGAGGAACCUUACCGAGGCUUAAAUGUAUAUUGACAGGACUGGAAACAGUUUUUUCUUCGGACAAUUUACAGGGUGCUGCAUGGUUGUCGUCAGCUCGUGCCGUGAGGUGUCAGGUUAAGUCCUAUAACGAGCGCAACCCCUGUUGUUAGUUGCUAGCGAGUCAAGUCGGGAACUCUAACAAGACUGCCAGUGUAAACUGUGAGGAAGGUGGGGAUGACGUCAAAUCAUCACGGCCCUUACGCCUUGGGCUACACACGUGCUACAAUGGCCGGUACAGAGAGCAGCCACUGCGCGAGCAGGAGCGAAUCUAUAAAACCGGUCACAGUUCGGAUCGGAGUCUGCAACUCG